rnacentral:rRNA from 1 species
CCUACGGGUGGCUGCAGUGGAGGAUAUUUCACAAUGGGGGAAACCCUGAUGCAGCGACGCCGCGUGAGUGAAUAAGUAUUUUGGUAUGUAAAGCUCUAGCAGCAGGGAAGAAAAUGACAGUACUUGACCAAGAAGCGCCGGCUAACUACGUGCCAGCAGCCGCGGUCAUACGUAGGGGGCAAGCGUUAUCCGGAUUUACUGGGUGUAAGGGGAGCGUAGACGGUUAUGUAAGUCUGGAGUGAAAGCCCGGGGCCCAACCCCGGGACUGCUUUGGAAACUGUGUCACUGGAGUACAGGAGGGGCAGCCGGAAUUCCUGGUGUAGCGGUGAAAUGCGUAGAUAUCAGGAGGAACACCGGCGGCGAAGGCGGCCUGCUGGACUGAAACUGACGUUGAGGCUCGAAAGCGUGGGGAGCAAACAGGAUUAGAUACCCUUGUAGUC